rnacentral:misc_RNA from 1 species
AAGUCGUAACAAGGUCUCCGUAGGUGAACCUGCGGAGGGAUCAUUACCGAGCGAGGGCCUCCGGGUCCAACCUCCCACCCUUUGUUUCUAUACCUGUUGCCUCGGGGGCGACCCGGCCUUCGGGCGUCGGGGCCCCCGGUGGACCGUCAACUCUGCAUCAUGGCGUCCGAGUACAAAUUGAAUCAAAAAAAACUUUUAACAACGGAUCUCUUGGUUCUG